CUGGGCGUAAAGCGCACGCAGGCGGUCUGUCAAGUCGGAUGUGAAAUCCCCGGGCUCAACCUGGGAACUGCAUUCGAAACUGGCAGGCUUGAGUCUUGUAGAGGGGGGUAGAAUUCCAGGUGUAGCGGUGAAAUGCGUAGAGAUCUGGAGGAAUACCGGUGGCGAAGGCGGCCCCCUGGACAAAGACUGACGCUCAGGUGCGAAAGCGUGGGGAGCAAACAGGAUUAGAUACCCUGGUAGUCCACGCCGUAAACGAUGUCUACUUGGAGGUUGUGCCCUUGAGGCGUGGCUUCCGGAGCUAACGCGUUAAGUAGACCGCCUGGGGAGUACGGCCGCAAGGUUAAAACUCAAAUGAAUUGACGGGGGCCCGCACAAGCGGUGGAGCAUGUGGUUUAAUUCGAUGCAACGCGAAGAACCUUACCUGGUCUUGACAUCCACAGAAGUUUGCAGAGAUGCGA
rnacentral:rRNA from 1 species